rnacentral:lncRNA from 1 species
UCUUCUGGAUGAUAUAGCAUUUCAUAUUGAUUGUAGGUUUGGUGCUUGUUUUUUCCAUCAACUUUUUUUUUAAUAAAUCUGGUAUAGCAUACAAUAAAUAUAUUUGUUGUAGUCAAGGAGUAGGAUAGCUUGGAUUGCAACACCUCGAAUCGUGAAUGUGAAGCCAGAGAAAAUUAUAUUCAUAGUUAGCAUCAUUAUUGCAUGUGG